rnacentral:rRNA from 1 species
GACGAACGCUGGCGGCGUGCCUAAUACAUGCAAGUUGAGCGAUGAAGCUUGGUGCUUGCACCAAUUUGAAGAGCAGCGAACGGGUGAGUAACGCGUGGGGAAUCUGCCUUUGAGCGGGGGACAACAUUUGGAAACGAAUGCUAAUACCGCAUAACAACUUUAAACAUAAGUUUUAAGUUUGAAAGAUGCAAUUGCAUCACUCAAAGAUGAUCCCGCGUUGUAUUAGCUAGUUGGUGAGGUAAAGGCUCACCAAGGCGAUGAUACAUAGCCGACCUGAGAGGGUGAUCGGCCACAUUGGGACUGAGACACGGCCCAAACUCCUACGGGAGGCAGCAGUAGGGAAUCUUCGGCAAUGGACGAAAGUCUGACCGAGCAACGCCGCGUGAGUGAAGAAGGUUUUCGGAUCGUAAAACUCUGUUGGUAGAGAAGAACGUUGGUGAGAGUGGAAAGCUCAUCAAGUGACGGUAACUACCCAGAAAAGGACGGCUAACUACGU